rnacentral:rRNA from 1 species
AUAUAAAAUGACUCUCGGCAACGGAUAUCUCGGCUCUUGCAUCGAUGAAGAACGUAGCGAAAUGCGAUACUUGGUGUGAAUUGCAGAAUCCCGUGAACCAUCGAGUCUUUGAACGCAAGUUGCGCCCGAAGCCAUUAGGCUGAGGGCACGCCUGCCUGGGUGUCACAC